GAUGAACGCUGGCGGCGUGCCUAAUACAUGCAAGUCGAACGAAACUUCUUUAUCACCGAGUGCUUGCACUCACCGAUAAAGAGUUGAGUGGCGAACGGGUGAGUAACACGUGGGCAACCUGCCCAAAAGAGGGGGAUAACACUGGGAAACAGGUGCUAAUACCGCAUAACCAUAGUUACCGCAUGGUAACUAUGUAAAAGGUGGCUAUACUACCGCUUUUGGAUGGGCCCGCGGCGCAUUAGCUAGUUGGUAGGGUAAAGGCUUACCAAGGCAAUGAUGCGUAGCCGAAUUGAGAGGUUGAUCGGCCACAUUGGGACUGAGACACGGCCCAAACUCCUACGGGAGGCAGCAGUAGGGAAUCUUCCACAAUGGGCGAAAGCCUGAUGGAGCAACGCCGCGUGGGUGAAGAAGGUCUUCGGAUCGUAAAACCCUGUUGUUAGUGAAGAAAGUGCGUGAGAGUAACUGUUCACGUUUCGACGGUAUCUAACCAGAAAGCCACGGCUAACUACGUG
rnacentral:rRNA from 1 species